rnacentral:snRNA from 1 species
CGAUAGUAAUUCAACCUAG